rnacentral:rRNA from 1 species
UACGUAGGGGGCAAGCGUUGUCCGGAAUUAUUGGGCGUAAAGAGCAUGUAGGCGGAUUUUUAAGUCAGGUGUGAAACCUCCGGGCUCAACUUGGAGCGUGCAUCUGAUACUGGAAGUCUUGAGGGUAUGAGAGGAAAACGGUAUUCCUAGUGUAGCGGUGAAAUGCGUAGAUAUUAGGAGGAACACCAGUGGCGAAGGCGGUUUUCUGGCAUACAACUGACGCUGAGAUGCGAAAGCGUGGGGAGCAAACAGG